UACGAAGGGUGCAAGCGUUAAUCGGAAUUACUGGGCGUAAAGCGUGCGCAGGCGGUUUUGUAAGCCCGAUGUGAAAUCCCCGGGCUCAACCUGGGAAUGGCAUUUGGGACUGCAAGGCUGGAGUGCGGCAGAGGAGACUGGAAUUCCUGGUGUAGCAGUGGAAUGCGUAGAUAUCAGGAGGAAUACCGAUGGCGAAGGCAGGUCUCUGGGCUGACACUGACGCUCAUGCACGAAAGCGUGGGGAGCAAACAGG
rnacentral:rRNA from 1 species